GGCGACCCCUCCCCCCGCCUCCCACUGUUCUCUCCUGCUUCUUGGGGCUCAGCAACACCCCAGCGCGCACACCCACUGACACCAGGCCAGCCAGACACAGGAGCCCACGGGCUCCCCCGCCACCAGGCGCUCCUCCGGCUCAGCCCUCACUUCCCACAGAAACACUUGCUUACGGGCACACGCGGCUUGGCACACGUGCACUUGCCCGGCGGGAACGGCCCCAACCCUGCCCGUCUCCACCACGAUCCUGCCGAGGAGCCGGGUACUCCUGCCCCUGGCCCUCGACGGUGGCCACACCACUCCCCUCCACAUCACCUCCCCGGAACCCUCUCCCAGCAGCCCAGAGGACCCCACGGGGAAGACAGUUUCCUGCAUCCUCCCCGCCAACACAUCCAGUGCCCCAUCCACCAGAGAUCCCGUGCAGCCAAAGUCGGAAUCAGAAAGGAAAAAGGACAAGAUAAACAGCCUUCAGCCAUGCCCGCUGGGAUGUAACCACAUCCCACAAUAUCCAAGGCUCCACGGCGCUAGAAGAUGUAUUGUCCUCUGACCGCAUGUUCAUUGAGAAUUCCCCAGCGCCACAUGCCUGGUCCACUUGAGUGUGCCACGGCCCCCCAAAACACGGAUGUGGCUGCUGCCCACUCGCAUCCUCUGAACCAGGAGCCAAAGUAAAUUCUCAAGAGAAAACACACACGUCCAAGUCCUGCUCCCACCCGGGUACCCCAGAUCUGCCAGCCACAGACACCUCCCAGCCCUGCGCGGCCACAGGCGCGUCUGCAGCCCUGGUGAAGGGCUUCCUCUUGUUCAGCCCACUCCUGCAGGGCUCUCCAGUGGCUGCGGCCACGCUCGGACCGUCCUCAGGAGACCUGGGGCCUGGUUCCAGCUCAGCAGCUGACUCACAAUGUCAACAGAUCCCACUUUCCCCACCAGGAGCCUUUACGCUCAGGGCUUCUAAUUCCCUACGACAGGCCCUUCCUCCCCAUUCACAUUCCAUGCUUCCAUCUCCUCGGCCUCCGGCCCUGGUCUCUUCACCUGAGGAUAAUCCCUGACCCUUGGACAGGUCUUCACAAAGGGUUUCUGUGGGCACCAUCUUUCAUCCUCCGUGACCACCUUCCGAUGUGGCUGUGAGAGGUAAAGUCACCUGUUCAAGGUCACACCAGCGAGACUGGAAUUCAAGUCUUCUGGCUCCAAAUGCACCGGACAACACUCCAGCUUUGAGGAACCUCAGCAGCAUCUCCAAGCACACACUUGGGAUAAUGAGUUGCCAGCCCCACCCUAGUCUCCUAUACCCUCAGCCUGGUCUUUCUGGACUCCUAAAGGCCCAGCCUCAUUUAUUCUUCUCCUGCGAUUCCACUUCCUCAAGAGAUCCAUAAAGACCUAACAAUUUCCUCCCACAUCCUAAGAC
ensembl:lncRNA